rnacentral:rRNA from 1 species
GCUAGACUCCUACGGGAGGCAGCAGUGGGGGAUAUUGCACAAUGGGGGAAACCCUGAUGCAGCGACGCCGCGUGGGCGAAGAAGUAUUUCGGUAUGUAAAGCCCUAUCAGCAGGGAAGAAGAAAUGACGGUACCUGAGUAAGAAGCACCGGCUAAAUACGUGCCAGCAGCCGCGGUAAUACGUAUGGUGCAAGCGUUAUCCGGAUUUAUUGGGUUUAAAGGGUGCGUAGGCGGUCCGGAAAGUCAGCGGUAAAGGCCCGGGGCCCACCCCCGGCGAGCCGUUGAAACUGUCGGACUAGAGACGGCGAGAAGUACGCGGAAUGCGCGGUGUAGCGGUGAAAUGCAUAGAUAUCGCGCAGAACUCCGAUUGCGAAGGCAGCGUACCGGCGCCGGACUGACGCUGAGGCACGAAAGCGUGGGUAUCGAACAGGAUUAGAUACCCGUGUAUAA